UCCUACGGGAGGCAGCAGUGAGGAAUAUUGGUCAAUGGGCGGAAGCCUGAACCAGCCAAGUCGCGUGAGGGAAUAAGGCCCUACGGGUCGUAAACCUCUUUUGCCGGGGAGCAAGGGCGGGGACGUGUCCCGGCCCGGAGAGUACCCGGAGAAAAAGCAUCGGCUAACUCCGUGCCAGCAGCCGCGGUAAUACGGAGGAUGCGAGCGUUAUCCGGAUUUAUUGGGUUUAAAGGGUGCGCAGGCGGUCUGUUAAGUCAGCGGUCAAAGCCCGGGGCUCAACCCCGGCCCGCCGUUGAAACUGGCAG
rnacentral:rRNA from 1 species